rnacentral:rRNA from 1 species
CGUAAUAGCUCACUGGUCGAGUCGGCCUGCGCGGAAGAUGUAACGGGGCUAAACCAUGCACCGAAGCUGCGGCAGCGACACUAUGUGUUGUUGGGUAGGGGAGCGUUCUGUAAGCCUGUGAAGGUGUACUGUGAGGUAUGCUGGAGGUAUCAGAAGUGCGAAUGCUGACAUAAGUAACGAUAAAGCGGGUGAAAAGCCCGCUCGCCGGAAGACCAAGGGUUCCUGUCCAACGUUAAUCGGGGCAGGGUGAGUCGACCCCUAAGG